CCCUACGGGGUGCAGCAGGCGAGAAAACUUUGCAAUGUGCGAAAGCACGACAAGGUUAAUCCGAGUGGUUUCUGCUAAAGGAACCUUUUGUCAGUCCUAGAAACACUGAUGAAUAAGGGGUGGGCAAGUUCUGGUGUCAGCCGCCGCGGUAAAACCAGCACCUCAAGUGGUCAGGAUGAUUAUUGGGCCUAAAGCAUCCGUAGCCGGCUCUGUAAGUUUUCGGUUAAAUCUGUACGCUCAACGUACAGGCUGCCGGGAAUACUGCAAAGCUAGGGAGUGGGAGAGGUAGACGGUACUCGGUAGGAAGGGGUAAAAUCCUUUGAUCUAUUGAUGACCACCUGGUGGCGAGGGGGGUCUACCAAAAACACGUCCGACGGUUGAGGGAAUGGAAAGCUGGGGGGAGGCAAAACCGGAUUAAAUACCCGGGUUAGUCCCAGCUGUAAAACCAUGCAAACUUCAGUUGAUGGCAUUGGCUUGGGGCCAAUGCAGUGCUGCAGGGAAGCCGUUAAAUUUUGCCGCCUGGGAAGUACGUACGCAAGUAUGAAACUUAAAGGAAUUGGGGGGGGGAACCACCCCAAGGGGUGAAGCCUGGCGGUUCAAUUGGAGUCAACGCCAGAAAUCUUACCCGGAGAGACAGCGAAUGAGGUCAAGCUGAAGAUUUUCC
rnacentral:rRNA from 1 species